GGCAGGGUAGCCUAGUGGCAGGGCGCUUAAUUGGUAACUGAAGAGUUAUGGUUCAAGUCCCUGGUGGGGCU